AACGCACGAGACCUGCGGACCUGCGGAAGGAUCAUUACAUGGCGGAGGAGGUGGGCACCUAGUAAAAACAAAACCCUAGGUGUGUUGCCUACCACGCUUUCUACCCUUGUCUAUUUGCACCUUUUGUCGUUCCCUCGGUGGGUCUUGAACCUGCCGGCGGCAACUUUCAAAAACCUUUUGUAGUUAGUAUCUAAUUCUUCUGAUCAAAUAUUCAAUCGUUACAACUUUCAGCAAUGGAUC
rnacentral:misc_RNA from 1 species